GGGCCUGGAAAAAGUGCUCACGGCGCCAGAGGCGCCUUUUCGCUAGUGUCAAGCUUCAUCCGCGUGGGGUAGCCCCCGUUGUCGGGCGCGGAGCGGCCAUCACGGUCGCUGCUUGAUGCGACACCAGCUGGAACAGGAGACGCCCCCCCGCGAGAGAACGCGGCGGCCAAUCCUGUGGCGAGCCCAGGUAGCGCUGGGCCGUCGCAACGCGCGCUAAGCGGUGGGCCGAGCCCGGUAACACAGGGCAGGCUUAAGGUACGUGCUAGUCCCACGGGAAACCGUGGCUUCCCCUGAGUAGGCCCGACAAGCCGAAGCAGGGGAAGGCGCGAGGGGUCCCCCCCCCCCCCGGGGCCCCCGGGGACGGGGGGGGGAGAACCCCCCGUGCGUGUGGUUAUGCGGGAGUUCCCUCAACGAUCUCCUCCCGACCGGCGUCGGCGAGGCGGAGGGCAUGCCCCCGGUAGCCUCGGCCGCCAGACACAAUGAGGAUUGACAGAUUGGGAGCUCUUUCUUGAUUUUGUGUGUGGUGGUGCAUGGCCGUUCUUAGUUGGUGGAGUGAUUUGUCUGCUUAAUUGCGAUAACGAACGAGACCUUAACCUGCUAAAUAGCCAGCGCUGCCCAGGCAGCGCGCCGGCUUCUUAGAGGGACUAUCGGCUCAAGCCGAUGGAAGUUUGAGGCAAUAACAGGUCUGUGAUGCCCUUAGAUGUUCUGGGCCGCACGCGCGCUACACUGACGGAGCCAGCGAGUGCCCCCUUGGCCGGAAGGCCCGGGUAAUCUUGUUAACCUCCGUCG
rnacentral:rRNA from 1 species